rnacentral:sRNA from 2 species
CCGGACCGCACGCCGAAUCCUGCCCCCGGUUCCGGUGACCCCUCCAGCGAGCAGCCGGGGCAGGAGCGGGGGAACCACGUUCCUCCGGGUGCCGCCACGUCCCAGCGGCACCCUUGGGGUGAAGCCGUGCACCGUGGAUCGUCCACGUGCCGGCCGGGCACCCAGCCCGAACCCGACAGCUCACCUCGCAGGCGUCUGGGAAAGGGCUC